GAGACGUUAAUUUAACUAAGAAUGGGCGGCUGUUAACUGCUUAGUGUGAUGGUCACACGUUUC
rnacentral:tRNA from 1 species